GCUAUAGGAGCAUUGUAAAACCUAUCAAAACUCUAUUCCAACGCACUCGUAACGCGUAGGCCGGGGGUUCAAAUCCCUUCACCAGCA
rnacentral:tRNA from 1 species